AUGGAUGUUGCAGGUAGAUGCCCAUGUCUGGUAACAACUUCUGAGAAGGGGACUAUGAUUAGAGUAUAUACCGUGGCACAAGCAACUAAGUUACAUAGGUUUCAGUGGGAGCAUAUCCAUCAACAAUUUACUCGCUCGCAUUUCGGCCGUGCAUCGCCCAGCCUGAUGUUUUUGCUGCCAGAAGUUCAUCAGGCUCUUUGCACAUGUUUUUCCUUGACACAACCAGAAACGGAGGGUUGCAUUUCCUUCACAGUUGUUCUAAUUCGUGAACCACUUAUGUGGACAUAUUUUUUAUGUGCUUCACUUUUCAGAAGCCAAACGAAUAAAUUACUCGGUUCAGUAAUGUACAUGCCAAUUGACUUAAUUUUUUUUCAGGUUGGCAACGCGUGCUUCAAGGCUAGUGAUCUACUCACCUUGUGCAACCAUUUUCUUCACUCGGCUUGA
rnacentral:rRNA from 1 species